rnacentral:rRNA from 1 species
AGUGAAUAUUAGGACAUCGCUUCGGCGAGUUCGACCCUCCACUUUUCAACUCUGUGCAUUUAUUGGCGGAAUCGAGCGAGCAAUCGUGAAGUUCUGCGUCUCAUUUUUAAACACUAGUCAAAGUAUGUAACGAAAUAUCGAAAUAAAGAAAAACUUCCAACAACGGAUCUCUUGGCUCUCGCAUCGAUGAAGAACGCAGCGAAAUGUGAUAAGUAAUGUGAAUUGCAGAAUUCAGUGAAUCAUCGAAUCUUUGAACGCACCUUGCGCUCCCUGGUAUUCCGGGGAGCAUGUCUGUUUGAGUGUCAUGAACUCUUCAACCCACCAGUUUCUUGUAGACUGAUUGGUGUUUGGAUUUUGAGCGCUGCUGGUCUUCGGAUCUAGCUCGUUCGUAAUAUAUUAGCAUCUCUAAUUCGACUUCGGAUUGACUCAGUGUAAUAGACUAUUCGCUGAGGACACACCUAGUGUGGCCGAACGUUGAUCUCAGUAGAAGCUUCCAACUAUUGUAGUCAAUUUUAGAUUAGACCUCAGAUCAGCAGGAUUACCCGCUGAACUUAA